GUUUGAUCCUGGCUCAGAUUGAACGCUGGCGGCAUGCCUUACACAUGCAAGUCGAACGGCAGCACGGGAGCAAUCCUGGUGGCGAGUUGCGAACGGGUGAGUAAUAUAUCGGAACGUGCCCAGUCGUGGGGGAUAACGUAGCGAAAGUAGCUAAUACCGCAUACGAUCUAUGGAUGAAAGCUGGGGGUCGCAAGACUCGCGCGAUUUGCGCGGCCGAUAUCAGAUUAGGUAGUUUGUGAGGUAAAGGCUCACCAAGCCGACGAUCUGUAGCUGGUCUGAGAGGACGACCAGCCACACUUGGACUGAGACACGGCCCAGACUCCUACGGGAGGCAGCAGUUGGGAAUUUUUGACAAUGGGCGCAACUGAUCCAGCAAUGCCGCGUGCAGGAUGAAGGCCUUCUGGUUGUAAACUGCUUUUGUACGGAGCGAAAAGGCUUCCACUAAUACUUGCGGCUCAUGACGGUACCGUAAGAAUAAGCACCGGCUAACUACGUCCAGCAGCCCGGUAAUACGUAGGGUGCAAGCGUUAAUCGAAUUACUGGGCGUAAAGGUGCGAGCUGUUAUGUAAGACAAUGUGAAUCCCCGGGCUUAACCUGGGAACUGCAUUUGUGACUGCAUAGCUAGAGUACGGUAGAGGGGGAUGGGAUUCCGCGUGUAGCAGUGAAAUUCGUAGAUAUGCGGAGGAACACCGAUGGCGAAGGCAAUCCCUGGACCUGUACUGACGCUCAUGCACGAAAGCGUGGGGAGCAAACAGAUAGAUACCCUGGUAGUCCACGCCCUAACGAUGUCAACUGGUUGUUGGGUCUUCACUGACUCAGUAACGAAGUAACGCGUGAAGUUGACCGCCUGGGGAGUACGGCCGCAAGGUUGAAACUCAAAGGAAUUGACGGGGACCCGCACAAGCGGUGGAUGAUGUGGUUUAAUUCGAUGCAACGCAAAAACCUUACCCACCUUUGACAUGUACGGAAGUUGCAAGAGAUGGCUUCGUGCUCGAAAGAGAGCCGUAACACAGGUGCUGCAUGGCUGUCGUCAGCUCGUGUCGUGAGAUGUUGGGUUAAGUCCCGCAACGAGCGCAACCCUUGUCAUUAGUUGCUACGAAAGGGCACUCUAAUGGGACUGCCGGUGACAAACCGGAGGAAGGUGGGGAUGACGUCAAGUCCUCAUGGCCAUUAUAGGUGGGGCUACACACAUCAUACAAUGGCUGGUACAAAGGGUUGCCAACCAGCGAGGGGGAGCUAAUCCCAUAAAGCCAGUCGUAGUCCGGAUCGCAGUCUGCAACUCGACUGCGUGAAGUCGGAAUCGCUAGUAAUCGUGGAUCAGAAUGUCACGGUGAAUACGUUCCCGGGUCUUGUACACACCGCCCGUCACACCAUGGGAGCGGGUUCUGCCAGAAGUAGUUAGCUUAACCGCAAGGAGGGCGAUUACCACGGCAGGGUUCGUGACUGGGGUGAAGUCGUAACAAGGUAGCCGUA
rnacentral:rRNA from 1 species